UACGUAGGGGGGCUAGCGUUGUCCGGAAUCAUUGGGCGUAAAGCGCGUGUAGGCGGUCCGGUAAGUCCGCUGUGAAAGUCGGGGGGCUCAACCCUCGGAUGCCGGUGGAUACUGUCGGGCUUGAGUACGGAAGAGGCGAGUGGAAUUCCUGGUGUAGCGGGUGAAAUGCGCAGAUAUCAGGAGGAACACCAAUUGCGAAGGCAGCUCGCUGGGACGUUACUGACGCUGAGACGCGAAAGCGUGGGGAGCAAACAGG
rnacentral:rRNA from 1 species